UAGAGUGCAUGUUAGUUUCCUUUGUUCUUAAUGAAACUCUGUUUGUAGUUGAUUCUAGAAUUCUACCUUGAUAGUUGAAUCAAGCCUUUGUUUUGUACAUAGAGUGAUGUUUCGUGUGAUACUAUGAAAAGGGGCAGAGUCGUGAUAGUCCAAUUCUUUAAGGAGUAACAAUUUAGUGUGGAUUAAAGAUGGUAUUGAGAGAGUUCGAGCUUGGGGUGGAAAUUUGGUAUGGAAAGAUUUCAGAUGGAUGAUACUAGAUAGAAAUUUGAGAAGUAGUGCUCAUCUUAUACUGUCGAAUACUGACUUGGACAAUUCAUAAAAACAGAGUUGGGGGUUUAGACAGAUAGACUUUUUGGAAAGUUCUUUUGAGAAAACUUUUGUAAACACUAUUCUAUGUACUAAUUGAAUAUUCUUAGAGAGUAUAAGACACCAUGUGAAGAUUUGGCCCAAGUCAUCACCAUGGUUCUUCAGAGCAUUGUAUUGUUUUCAUCAAGUAUCAAAAUUAUUAAUCGCUUUCCUUAA